GUGAAGCAGUUGAAUCAGAGCCGCCAAUCCAUCAAGCCAAUCUAGUCGACGCUUGGCGCCUAAAAGACUAAAACUUCCCGCAAAUUCCAGUGCGCGCCAAACCUUCAAAAUAUGCCAUAAAAAUUUACCCGGAAUCCUGUUUCCCGCCAUGUCCGCCAGUUUAUUUUCUCUCUUUUUUCUCCAAAUGCAAAAGAACCAUUUCUCUUCUUUGAUUCUUUCAGUCUCGAUCCUACCAUCCAAUUACCAGCAAACAAACAAUCCUUCAUCACGUCAAUGGAUUUGUCGGAAAUUGCUAAGAAACUUGGUCUCUCCGAAUCCAAGAACCUGAUCCGAAAAGCGGCGGAGCUCCGCCGCCUCUGUGACGUCCAGUUUGAUUCAUCCAUUAUCGGAGUUGGAGAGGUUUGUAAGGCUAUAAUCUGCUUAGAAAUUGCCGCCACAAGGUUUCAAGUGAUUUUUGAUAGGCAGGCUGCGAUAAGGCUGAGUGGAAUGUCAGAGAAGGCUUACAAUAGAUCCUUCAAUUCGCUGCAAAACAGUCUUGGUGUUAAGACAAAGCUGGAUAUUAGAGAACUGGGGAUUCAGUUCGGAUGCGUUAGGCUUAUUCCUUUCGUGAGAAAUGGUUUAUCAUUGUACAAGGAACGGUUUCUUGCAUCAUUGCCAGCUUCAAGACGAGCGACUGCUGACUUCACCCGACCUGUGUUCACAGCAGUUGCGUUCUACUUGUGUGCAAAGAAACACAAGCUCAAGAUAGACAAGCUUAAAUUGAUCGAAGUUUGUGGCACAUCUGAAUCUGAAUUCAAAUGUGUGUCCACUUCCAUGAAGGACCUCUGUCAUGAUGUUUUUGGGAUCUCAAAGGAAAAGAAGGAUCCAAGGGUGGUGAAAUGCAACCGAGAUCUGCUUGAUGCAUUGCCCGAGAAAAGAAAAUUUGAGAAUGGUGGUUACUUAUCUGAUGAUGGAGCAGAGCAUUCAAGUUACAAGAAGCGUAAAAGAAUGGAUAAAGUUGCUUAUGAGGAGUGGAAGUCCUCUGUCAUUUCAUCCAAUGACAAGAACAAGGCAAAAGGUUGUGCAGAAAUUUAACCUUUGUUUACUCCACGCAUCUACAAAGCAGGUCAGAGGCCAAUUUAACUGAUAUUUGCUUGUUCACCUUUCUUCAGGUCCUUGCAAGCGGUCCAGGCAAACUGGCCUAAACUUUCUCAAAGAAGUUCCUGAGACAGCAUGAUGGGAAGCUUUGUGAAAGACGCAGGACCAUUUUUGUCAUACCAUGACUUUUUAGUUGAAAUAUUUUUCUGGAAAUUCAUAUGCAUGUAAAAAGGGGGAAAAAAUGGCUUUGUUGAUAUUAUUCUGGAAAAUAGAUCAUUGCUUUCGAUUGGUUUUAUUUAUUCUGUUGAUGCUUACCUCACUUUGAUGCAUGAAUGAACAGAUAAAUAGCAUACAAGUAGAAUAUUCUAGUGUAAUUAC
rnacentral:misc_RNA from 1 species